AAGGAGCACGAGCUCAAACAGACCGGGCCACAAGGUCCGGCAGAUAGAGCUGUCGUUAGUUCGUGGAGCACUGACUAUUCGGCCAGACCAGGUCGUCACACAACAAGUACUUCCCCUCGGGGAGUGGGAACGGGGUGUUCUGAGGGUCUGGACUGGUCGAGCACGCUGUUGGGUCCUGAAGAAACGGGCGACCGUUUUCUUCGGUAUCACACGGGCCAGGCCGAUGAAGAGAGUGUUUCUCUUCGGAUGCCUGGUAGCCGUCUGUUUUUUGAGAACUGCACAGUGGACGCGAGCAUCUUAAGCAAUUAAGAGCCUGAAAUAUCUGUUGCCGGACCCGUUGGGGUUCGGCGUCUGCAGAGUUUUUCAGUUCACAUCUAUGUCUUGGUAUGGGCCAACGUUUUGU
rnacentral:misc_RNA from 1 species